GAUGAACGCUGGCGGCGUGCUUAACACAUGCAAGUCGAGCGAGAAUUUUCAAUCGGAAGCUUCGGCCGAAGAUUAAAAAGGAAAGCGGCGAACGGGUGAGUAACACGUGGGCAAUCUGCCCUCUGGAGCGGGAUAACAGACCGAAAGGCUUGCUAAUACCGCAUGAGGCCGUACUCUCGCAUGGGAGAACGGUCAAAGGGGAAACCCGCCGGAGGAGGAGCCCGCGUCCCAUUAGCUAGUUGGCGGUGUAACGGACCACCAAGGCGAUGAUGGGUAGCCGGCCUGAGAGGGUGAACGGCCACAUUGGGACUGAGACACGGCCCAGACUCCUACGGGAGGCAG
rnacentral:rRNA from 1 species